GAUGAACGCUGGCGGCGUGCCUAAUACAUGCAAGUCGAGCGAACAGAUGAGGAGCUUGUUCCUCUGACGUUAGCGGCGGACGGGUGAGUAACACGUGGAUAACCUACCUAUAUGACUGGGAUAACUUCGGGAAACCGGAGCUAAUACCGGAUAAUAUAUUGAACCGCAUGGUUCAAUAGUGAAAGACGGUUUUGCUGUCAUUUAUAGCUGGAUCCGCGCCGCAUUAGCGAGUCGGUAAGGUAACGGCUUACCAAGGCAACGAUGCGUAGCCGACCUGAGAGGGUGAUCGGCCACACUGGAACUGAGACACGGUCCAGACUCCUACGGGAGGCAGCAGUAGGGAAUCUUCCGCAAUGGGCGAAAGCUUGACGGAGCAACGCCGCGUGAGUGAUGAAGGUCUUCGGAUCGUAAAACUCUGUUAUUAGGGAAGAACAAAUGUGUAAGUAACUAUGCACGUCUUGACGGUACCUAAUCAGAAAGCCACGGCUAACUACGUG
rnacentral:rRNA from 1 species